GCUUUGUGCAAUCGCUAACUGCACAGGCGGAAAUUAAAAUAAUCAAAUUUCAUUCCUGGUGACCAUUCAUUGUACUUAAUAAACUUGGAAUAUUAGUAUAUUCCGUUGAAAUAUCCGUUUAUAUUCAACACGUAUAAAGUUUGAUCAACUAGCAAAUAAUUAUAUUCAACACGUAUGGUAAACACGUCACGAUUUUUGCCACAGGUUUACACUUGCAUAUAAAUAAGUUAGAUAAUUUAUUUUUUUAUCACUAGAAAUAUCAGCGAAUCAUCAAGCUCGUGUAAGAAGCAUAAGAUAGAAACUUCUACGCGCACAAUAGAAAAAGCCGUAUGAGAACGCCUUUCCGUCGGUGCCUUUAAACCGCGAUGUCAGUGCACAUUUCUGAACGGGUGGCGCUCUGCCCCCUCCUCCUGGUUUUUUUCUCUCAGUUUCCCCUAUGUGCACCUAAAUACCGUUAUCGUAAUAAACGCAGAUUCCGUUAUUCUUGAAAUAGAGAAUAUCUAUCAGAUAUACGUUCGUGUUAGAUCAACUUUAUCCGAAUUUAAGCUCUUUAAGACAGACGGGCGUUUGCAAAGAUGACAGUAGGAUUCACAAGCAGCACCAUGUCUCGUGUGCGCGAUGCAGCACACGAAUAGUGGGGAGAAUGAAAGAGGCAGUGAGCGAGGUACUGGUGAAGGGAGCAAAAGAGAGGGGGAGAAAUCGAGUAGAAAGUGGGGGAUGAAAAGAGAAGAGAGGGGAACGACGAGGAAGGUAGAGAGGAAGAGUGAGGAAGAAAGAGAAGACAUUGACCGAACGAGCAGCCGCGCGACAAGGCCUCCUUUGCCGUGCUAGGCCAGCUGGAAGGAACGAAGCUUGAACCCUGACUUCUCUUUCUCAACUUAAAUUGGCUACCAAAGAAACGAUGGGAAAAAGCCACUAGAACUCACUGUGUAAAAAACUACCACCUAGCAAAAGCCAUACUCUACCUGCGCACGUGUGCCAACUGCGAAGUGAAACCCCCUAGGACAUGUACCGCGGUUAGAUUACAUGCUUCUUGCAGCUGAAGUGAAUUAAUAAAUUUUUGCCUUAUGAAUAUAUUUAAAAAAUAAUAGGACGAGUAAAAGAAGGUCGUUCCCGGACAUGCGGACGUUCCACCGGUCGGCUACUCCAUGCUUUGGCUAGCCGGCUACUAAACUCGUUCGCACAACGUUGCCACAUCUAUUCGUUCAGUGUUGACACGAUCAAACUCUAAUUCAGCUACUAUAGUUCGCAUAUAUUCAAUCGCAAUGUUAAUGUGCGAGUUCAUAUGCACAUGCGAUUUGAAUUAGUGGAUUUUAAAUGAUCGUCUUCUAUAUUAUAUCAUUUUGAUUUAUCAAAUGACAAAUAGAAAAACAUAAAAACAUAUUCAA